AGAACGAACGCUGGCGGCAGGCUUAACACAUGCAAGUCGAACGCGUGUAGCAAUACACGAGUGGCGCACGGGUGAGUAACGCGUGGAUAUCUGCCUUUUGGUUUGGAAUAACCCCGGGAAACUGGGGCUAAUACCGGAUGGUUCCUACGGGAUAAAGAUUUAUCGCCAAAAGAUGAGUCCGCGUCCGAUUAGCUAGUUGGUGGGGUAAUGGCCUACCAAGGCGACGAUCGGUAGCUGGUCUGAGAGGACGAUCAGCCACACUGGGACUGAGACACGGCCCAGACUCCUACGGGAGGCAGCAGUGGGGAAUAUUGGACAAUGGGGGCAACCCUGAUCCAGCCAUGCCGCGUGAGUGAUGAAGGCCUUCGGGUUGUAAAGCUCUUUUGGCGGGGACGAUGAUGACGGUACCGCAGAAUAAGCCCCGGCUAACUUCGUGCCAGCAGCCGC
rnacentral:rRNA from 1 species